GACUUUUCCGAAGAGUAUAAAAGAGAAACCGCAACGCAUAUUUUCAAAAAUACUACAAACGCGAAAAGUCUUUGCAACUUUCAAUAUUUUCAAUAAUGUACGUAAAAAGAAAAGUUCUCGUAUCUACUGUCCUGUGCAUCAUGACUGUUGCAGCACUUUGGGCUGUAGCGGAUGCAUGGCCUACAAGCCGCUCGCAACAGUGGGAGAAGUAAAAGAAGAAGCACCACACCACUUUAAAAGCUUUCAUGGAAUAACAGACAGAAAAACUAAAAUAAA